rnacentral:lncRNA from 1 species
CCGCCUUGGAUGGACAGAGGGACGGAGCAGCAAGCAUCCGGCCUCCCCGGCUUCCCUGCAGCGGUCUCCAACUGCUGUCUGCCCGCUGCCCGCCUGCCUGGCAUCUCUCUCCCGAGUGAAGACGCCCUAAGUCCAGAGGAGGGUCUUUGGGACAGGCCUAGGAGGUGUGCGUGCAUACCACAAGGAGCUGUGCUUCCCUUGGAGUGACCAACCGAAGCUUAUGCCUGCCCACCCCAGGAUGGAAGCCUGGCCUGUAAGAGCUUUUGACAGCGAAUCAGGAUAAAUCACAGAAACUCGUGUCUCGUAACCCUGGGGAAGCAGAGGCCGCAGUGCUUCCUAUAUGGCAAGCCAGGGACUGAAGCUUACGAUUAGAUUGGACAAUCUAUAAGGUGCUAGCUGCAUUCCUGGUCUGGGAGCAGGGAGACUGUCUGACCCCUGUGUCACACUGGAUGGUUUUACAGAGGUGCCCCACCUGAUCCUGGAUGGACGUCAUCACCCUACAGUAUGGGUAUCAAGGGGGGAGCAAAGGGACUAGGAAGCUCCAGAGGGAUUGGGUGGUCUCUAGUCACUUCCCUCUGUAUGAACCCUGCUGCUCUUCCACUCUGGAGCUGGAAAGCUGUCAGCUGCCACGCCAUGGUGCCAAGCACAUAGUAGGACUUCAAGCAUGUUUACCCUGUACUUGUCUGCUCUUGGCUGACUUCAAAGCCCUGUCCCCCAACUAACCACACGGCCACUUUAUUCAACAGAAAUAUUCCUGUGAUAAAGACAGAAGGGCCC